rnacentral:rRNA from 1 species
AUUGAACGCUGGCGGCAUGCUUUACACAUGCAAGUCGAACGGUAACAGGCCGCAAGGUGCUGACGAGUGGCGAACGGGUGAGUAAUGCAUCGGAACGUGCCCAGUCGUGGGGGAUAACGCAGCGAAAGCUGUGCUAAUACCGCAUACGAGCUAUGGAGGAAAGCGGGGGACCGAAAGGCCUCGCGCGAUUGGAGCGGCCGAUGUCAGAUUAGGUAGUUGGUGGGGUAAAGGCCCACCAAGCCAACGAUCUGUAGCUGGUCUGAGAGGACGACCAGCCACACUGGGACUGAGACACGGCCCAGACUCCUACGGGAGGCAGCAGUGGGGAAUUUUGGACAAUGGGCGCAAGCCUGAUCCAGCAAUGCCGCGUGCAGGAAGAAGGCCUUCGGGUUGUAAACUGCUUUUGUACGGAACGAAACGGUCUGGGUUAAUACCCUGGGCUAAUGACGGUACCGUAAGAAUAAGCACCGGCUAACUACGUGCCAGCCGCCGCGGUAACAC